rnacentral:rRNA from 1 species
UACGUAGGGUGCGAGCGUUGUCCGGAUUUAUUGGGCGUAAAGAGCUCGUAGGCGGCUUGUCGCGUCGAAUGUGAAAACUCGGGGCCCAACUCCGAGCUUGCAUUCGAUACGGGCAGGCUAGAGUUCGGUAGGGGAGGACUGGAAUUCCUGGUGUAGCGGUGAAAUGCGCAGAUAUCAGGAGGAACACCGAUGGCGAAGGCAGGUCUCUGGGCUGACACUGACGCUCAUGCACGAAAGCGUGGGGAG